rnacentral:rRNA from 1 species
UACGGAAGGCAGCAGUGGGGAAUAUUGCACAAUGGGCGCAAGCCUGAUGCAGCCAUGCCGCGUGUAUGAAGAAGGCCUUCGGGUUGUAAAGUACUUUCAGUCGUGAGGAAGGUGUUAAGGUUAAUAACCUUAGCAAUUGACGUUAGCGACAGAAGAAGCACCGGCUAACUCCGUGCCAGCAGCCGCGGUAAUACGGAGGGUGCGAGCGUUAAUCGGAAUUACUGGGCGUAAAGGGCACGCAGGCGGUUAAUUAAGUUGGAUGUGAAAUCCCCGGGCUUAACCUGGGAAUGGCAUUCAAGACUGGUUAGCUAGAGUCUUGUAGAGGGGGUAGAAUUCCAUGUGUAGCGGUGAAAUGCGUAGAGAUGUGGAGGAAUACCGGUGGCGAAGGCGGCCCCUGGACGAAAGACUGACGCUCAUGUGCGAAAGCGUGGGGAGGCAAACAGGAUUAGAUACC